rnacentral:rRNA from 1 species
CCUACGGGAGGCAGCAGUGGGGAAUAUUGCACAAUGGGCGAAACCCUGAUGCAGCGACGCCGCGUGAGCGAUGAAGUAUUUCGGUAUGUAAAGCUCUAUCAGCAGGGAAGAUAAUGACGGUACCUGACUAAGAAGCCCCGGCUAACUACGUGCCAGCAGCCGCGGUAUUACGGAGGGGGCAGGCGUUAACCGGAUUUACUGGGUGUAAAGGGAGCGUAGACGGGGAUGCAAGCCAGAUGUGAAAGCCCGGGGCUCAACCCCGGGACUGCAUUUGAAACUGUCUAGCUGGAGUGUCGGAGAGGCAGGCGGAAUGCGUGGUGUAGCGGUGAAAUGCGUAGAUAUUAGGAGGAACACCAGUGGCGAAGGCGGCCUGCUGGACGAUGACUGACGUUGAGGCACGAAAGCGUGGGGAGCAAACAGGAUUAGAUACCCUUGUAGUC